CCGCGGUAUUUGACCUGCAAAGGUAGCGUAUCACUUGUCUUUAAUGAAGACCCGUAGAAAGGCACCACGAGAGUUUAACUGUCUCUAUUUCAAUCAAUGAAUUGUCUAUUCGUGCAGAAGCGGUAUAAUAACAUAAGACGAGAAGACCCUAUGGAGCUUCAAACACUUAGACUAAUUAUGUACUUUUUUAUAAUCUACGGACAUAAAUAAAAAUAUAAUACUUCUAGUCUACCUGUUUUUGGUUGGGGUGACCAAGGGGGAAAGUAAAUCCCCCUUAUCGAUUGAGUACUCAGUACUUAAAAAGUGGGAGUAACAAUUCUAAUUAAUAAAAUAUUUAUCGAAAAAUGACCCAGGAUUUCCUGGUCAAUGAACCAAGUUUACCCUAGGGAUAACAGCGCAUUCUUUUCCAGAGUUCUUAAC
rnacentral:rRNA from 1 species